AUUGAACGCUGGCGGCAGGCUUAACACAUGCAAGUCGAGCGGGGGAAGGUAGCUUGCUACCGGACCUAGCGGCGGACGGGUGAGUAAUGCUUAGGAAUCUGCCUAUUAGUGGGGGACAACAUCUCGAAAGGGAUGCUAAUACCGCAUACGUCCUACGGGAGAAAGCAGGGGAUCUUCGGACCUUGCGCUAAUAGAUGAGCCUAAGUCGGAUUAGCUAGUUGGUGGGGUAAAGGCCUACCAAGGCGACGAUCUGUAGCGGGUCUGAGAGGAUGAUCCGCCACACUGGGACUGAGACACGGCCCAGACUCCUACGGGAGGCAGCAGUGGGGAAUAUUGGACAAUGGGGGGAACCCUGAUCCAGCCAUGCCGCGUGUGUGAAGAAGGCCUUAUGGUUGUAAAGCACUUUAAGCGAGGAGGAGGCUACUUUAGUUAAUACCUAGAGAUAGUGGACGUUACUCGCAGAAUAAGCACCGGCUAACUCUGUGCCAGCAGCCG
rnacentral:rRNA from 2 species